UCCAACUGUUUGACAGAUGAGGACAUUAAUGCUGAGUGAACUGACUUGGCCGAGGUCCUGGUUCUUAAAGACAAGAAAGCUUCUGAAGACAGCCUUCAACACAGGAAGCCUGAUGUAAGAUGCUUAUGUGGCACACAGAAUAUAAAAAGUUUUUACGCUUCUCAACAUGUGGAACUCACUGCCACCAUACUGCCUCAUGUUCCAUGUAAGAG